AUGCUGCAAGUAAGCGAUCGGUCACUCACCGGCCUUGAGCGCGGCGUCCGCCUGCGAGACAUUGCGGGCCAUGCAGGCGAGCAGCGCGAUGCCGUGCUCCGCCGCGGCGACGGUAUUGGCCGUGGGGGCGUUCACGACGAGGCACCCCGCCUCGGUCGCCGCCUGCAAGUCGACGUUGUCUAUCCCGACGCCGGCCCGGCCGACCACCCGCAGCCGCCCGCGCCCCGCCUCCAGCACUUCCCUCGUCACCUUCGUGCCGCUCCGCACGACGAGCGCGUCGAACUGCGCCACCUUGGCCAGGAGCUCGGCGGGGGACAUGCCGUACGCGCACUCCACGUCGGCGAACUGACGCAGCACGUCCAGCCCGGCCUCGCCCAGCUUCUCCGCCACCAGGACCGCAGGCUUCGCCCGCGGCGCUGA
rnacentral:rRNA from 1 species